AAAAAAAAAAAAAAAAGGGCAGAGGGAGAACGGAAUUUCAUAGCAAAAGACUAAGAAGAAAGAUUACAUAAAUAGCACCACAGGAAAUACAUCAACACAAACUGGCUAGAAAUUUCUCUCCUAAAUUUUCCAUUACAAGGAACUUGACAAGAGCACAAAUGGCUUCCAGAUUUUUAUCAUUUUCAUUCAAGAUUGGUGUGUCGAGAUCGGAUGGUCUCUGAGCUCUGUCCCAAAACUUCACCCAAUUUGUAAAUCACCAUCUCAAACAAUACAAACAAAGCUCCCUCAUAAACGCUUCCCAUCGGCAACAGCGGCCGAGAUGUCGCCUCUUCAUCAUUUGCCAUGGUCAGUGCUGGCACGUAGCAAACCACGCUCGCAUGCUUCACACAAGACCCGCUUUCAGGUUGAGCAGUCAGCAGUAACACUUUGGCACCAUUCGAUCUUGCCAGCGAACACAAGGCAUCGACGGUGGAGAAUCCCCCAGGUCCCGCAGAGGCGAUGAAGAGAUCGUUGGAGGCGAUUGGAGGAGUGGUCAUGUCGAAUACAAAGUGGGUGGAGAGACCAAGGUGGGCGAGCCGCAUGCAUAGGGCCUUAAGCAUCAGACCCUCCCUUCCCACUCCAUAGAGGAAAACACGGCCGUUCCGGGCGGCGGUGGCGGAGAGAUUAGUGACCAUCAGUUCUAGAGGAGGUGGAUGGGGAUCAGUGGGUUUGGAGAAAAUGGAGGCUAUGUGAUUGCAUAUCUGUGAGGCUAGAGAGAACAUUGAGGGAGCUUCCGCUGCCAUCGGCGUUGGAGGGGCUUCAAUCUUUUUUUAACGGACUGGAUAAUCAUUGCAAUUAGUAGACGGCUGAGGGGAAAUGGAUAGCAGGUGCCCAACCGAUAGCCUCCAGUCUCUUGCAAUUGGUCCUAAAAUGCCACAUCAGCGCACAAUCCAUCUUAGGAAUUAUGUUAGAAAUCAGGGCUGUUCACUUUAUAGAUUAAUCGGACCGAAUCGAUCAAUUCAAAUUCAUCCGAAUCGAAAAUUAGGUUUGGAUGACAAUAAUCGGAUCGGUUCGAGGAUUUAAUUUAAAUACUUAUCUUUUUUUUGCUGUCGGUUUGGUUUCAUCCAAACAACACGCGAAAUCUAAGCCCUAUGUGUCUCUUCCUGUCGCCAUAGUCGACGGUAGAUUUUCAUCUUUGCCGCUCGCUCCCCUAAAAACAUCCAUUUUCGUUACCAACAUCUCUUGCCUUAGCCGAAAGUAACAAGAUCUUCGUUGUUGCCCUCCAAAAACCUCCAUCUUCGUCGCCAACAUCUCUCUGUUAUCACUAGUUGCUCGUUUUCUGACGAAAGUACAACUUCUGUCUUUCGGUAGGUUAAACCUAGCAUUUGGCUUUCUGUGAUUUCAUGGGUUCAAAAUUUUGUAUGAAAUGUUCGAAAUUUCUAACACCGAAAUCUCUACCCUUGAAAUUCAUGGUUAUCCAGGAAUUACUUACUUGAACCACAUCAGAUUGUGGACUCGUGGGACAUAUUUUUUCAUGUUGGGUUGUGCUUGUGAUUGGUUUGAUUUACUUGGUUUUUCUUUUGAUUUUACUUGGUUUUUCUUUUGAUUUUUCUAAGGUUGAGUAAAUGAUUGAUGAUCCCUUUAACCUCUUUUAACUUUUGGGUUUUGUUUUGCUGCUUGCCUCUUCUUUAAUUUGGCUAUGAAUGUUGGGUUUAUUUGGGUACUGUAUAUAUCUUUUUAAGUGCGUAAUCAGAUAUUUAUUGGUUUACUAGACAGUUUGAGUUGAUUUGUAAUUGGUAAUAGUACUGAAAUACCUUUUAGUUUAUCUUUUGCAGGGGAAGAGGGGAGUGUGGAACUUUGGAUUAAGUUGCCCAUUGAAUUUGUUAAUCUUGUAGAAACUGCAGUUAAGGUAAUCAUUUUCUACAUCUGUGAAAUACAGUUAAGUAAGGGUUAAUGCCCAUAUAAUUAUCCAAUUAUUCUCUAAUUAUGAUCCCUUCUUUCAUUUCUGCGUAAUAGUAUAAAAAGGUACAUUUGUUGGAUUUCCUUUAUUAAGGACCUUAUAGUUUUUGUAUUUGAAAUAAUAUCCAUUUCUACAAUAGCAUAUUCUGUUACAUACUGGUUCUGAGUUUGAAGUUUCUUUCAUAUAACAACAGACUAGCAUUUAAGUUCUAACAAUCAAUUAAGUGGGUCUGGUGGGAAUGGUGUUAUCAGUGUUACUUUUCCUAUGUGUUUAAACAGUUUAGAUUACAACUACACUUUGUUUUUCCAAUUUAGUUUAUUGUUGAAGAAAUUUGCGGGAAAUAUAUAUAAUUGGAAAUUAUUUUUUCUUUUAAUUAUUUUCAGGCGUUUAAGCUAUUGAUUUCAUCUAGGAGCGACUAGAGUUUAUUUAGCCUAUAAAUUCUGCAAAUACACGCCAUCACACUUGAGAACUACUCAAUAUUGGUUUUGACUGGUAUCUACUGAAAGUGACCUGACCACAUCUCAAUACAAGUUGCAAAUUUUGGGUGGGCUAAGCAAAGUUUCGAAGGUCAGUCACAUUUCACCACAAGGGUAGCUGUUACACAUGGUUAUUUAGCACCUCGUAUGCUCAAUAUGGUCAAUUAGCAGGGAAAAGUGACAUAUAUACCUUUGGAAUUGUGAUUCUUGAAAUUAUGAGCAGAAGAAAGGUGCUUGAUAUAUCAAAUUCUUCAUUUCUUUUUAUUACUUAUUAGGCAUGGACACUAACAAAAUCUUAAAAUAUAGAGCAAAUAUUUGAUGAGUUGAUAAGGGAGCAGGGACCAAAAGGGGUGACGGAAAGAUUUGUUCUUGUUGGGAUUCUCUGUGUGCAUGUAAUAUUGGCAUUUAGACCUACCAUUGAAGAUGCUU
rnacentral:misc_RNA from 1 species